rnacentral:rRNA from 1 species
GACGAACGCUGGCGGCGUGCUUAAUACAUGCAAGUCGAGCGAGGUUACUGUUUCGGAUCCCUUCGGGGUGAAGAAGCUUUAACCUAGCGGCGGACGGGUGAGUAACGCGUGGGUAACCUACCCCAAAGUCCGGGAUAACAGCGGGAAACCGCUGCUAAUACCGGAUGCCUUUACCUUGGGGCAUCUUGAGGUAAAGAAAGGCAACGCUUUGGGAUGGGCCCGCGUCCCAUUAGCUAGUUGGUGAGGUAACGGCUCACCAAGGCGACGAUGGGUAGCCGGCCUGAGAGGGUGGACGGCCACACUGGGACUGAGACACGGCCCAGACUCCUACGGGAGGCAGCAGUAGGGAAUAUUGCGCAAUGGACGGAAGUCUGACGCAGCGACGCCGCGUGAGCGAUGAAGGUCUUCGGAUCGUAAAGCUCUGUCCUUGGGGAAAAGGUCUUCGGACUUGACGGUACCCAAGAACGAAAGCCCCGGUAACUACGUG